GGGAAUGUAGCUCAGUGGUAGAGCAUUUGUCUGUCGGUUAAAAGCUCUAGAUUCAUUCCCU
rnacentral:tRNA from 1 species